rnacentral:lncRNA from 1 species
GUCUUUGCUCUCCCGGAUCUGUCACUUGCCCGCCCAUUGUAUGGUAAGCUUUUAAUUUUCUUUUAUUUUAGUGAACAAUUGUUCUUUCUUAAUUUCUUUAAAUCUUUUCUGGGUUUACUUAUGUUUGGUGAAAUUGGAUGUGGCUUUUUACUUUUCUCUUUUUGUGAGGAAUUAGCUCCAGCUUUUAUUUUUGCUAAGUAGGUGGAGGUAAUCGAACUACCAAUUUUCGAGCUGCUGCUGCCGAUGUUAUUCAAGUUCGAGCUGCUGCUACUUUCUUCAAGUUCGAGCACGGAGACUGUACUACGAGGAGUCGGCGACACGAGAAAGACGGCAAAUUAGCUGCCUCAUCUUCAAAUUAAAGGUAAAUUUUGGUGGACUUUGAGUUGAAAUUGAGUGAGUUUGAGUGGGAAGAUGAGGUUUUGAGAGAAAGAAAAAGUAUGUUUUGUUGGUGAGAAAGUGAGAAACUUUUUGGAUUUGGAAAGUGAUGGGUUCUUUAUUUUUACUUCUUUAUUGUUCUUUAUUGAGUAGAUGUUGACGGAACAAGCAUUAUAAUUAAGAUUUUCAACGGCAAAUAUAGAGAAAUAGAAGCAAACUUGGAUUCAGAGUAUGUAGCAGCAUUUUUUAGGUUUUUUUUUUGGUUUUUUGGGGAAGCAUUAAAUACUAAUAAUUAUUGUAGGUUUGUAUUGUAGGUUUGUGGUCUGAACAGUAGCUAUAACCUUAACCAUAGUUUGAGGUUUCUUUUCUGGAACCAUUCAUGGUAAUUUCAGGCAGAGAUUGUGCAUAAUAUGCAACAUGUCUGUGUCUCUUCAAUAGAAAGGUUUCGAGUUUGCAGUCUUACAAUGUAAUAAUUUGGUAAAGCAUUGCAAUUUGUACAUAUGCUAUUAUCUUUUGCACUCCUUUAUUUUCCUUAAUUAAUUAAUGAAAAAACUUGAGGUUCUCACUGCUCUGAAAUUUGCUCUAUUUGCUCAUAAGCAUGUUGAUAUUGCAAUAUCCAGGUGAUAUAUAAUUUUCACCUUAUUUUUUUAUUUCAGUAUUUUUCUGGGUACUAUUUCAUACACACAAGGGUUUGCACUCAUACUUCUUUAUCCUUCGCUGAACUUUGUAUCCAAAUGUCCUUUUCUUACCCAAUUAAAGAAGAGAGCAUGCUAAUGAUAAGUUUGCUUGCUUUUGAUGUAACAGGCUAGGCUGGUGGUGCUCAGGAUGCAGUAAAUAUCAUUCCUAGUUGAUAUAAUGGAUUGAGUAUGCAUUCAUUUCAGUUGUUUCAUGAAGAUAGGGUGAAUUUUAUUAAAUUGGCUUUUCCUUUUUUUUUUUAAUUCUGAGGACACUACACAAUAGAGCUUGAACUUUUGAAGAGUUUAGAUCAAAG